rnacentral:miRNA from 1 species
AUUAGACUGAAGUGCUGAUCU